rnacentral:rRNA from 1 species
CCCUUGUCUUUUGCGUACUUCUUGUUUCCUUGGUGGGUUCGCCCACCACUAGGACAAACAUAAACCUUUUGUAAUUGCAAUCAGCGUCAGUAACAAAUUAAUAAUUACAACUUUCAACAACGGAUCUCUUGGUUCUGGCAUCGAUGAAGAACGCAGCGAAAUGCGAUAAGUAGUGUGAAUUGCAGAAUUCAGUGAAUCAUCGAAUCUUUGAACGCACAUUGCGCCCUUUGGUAUUCCAAAGGGCAUGCCUGUUCGAGCGUCAUUUGUACCCUCAAGCUUUGCUUGGUGUUGGGCGUCUUGUCUCUAGCUUUGCUGGAGACUCGCCUUAAAGUAAUUGGCAGCCGGCCUACUGGUUUCGGAGCGCAGCACAAGUCGCACUCUCUAUCAGCAAAGGUCUAGCAUCCAUUAAGCCUUUUUUUCAACUUUUGACCUCGGAUCAGGUAGGGAUACCCGCUGAACUUAAGCAUAUCA